rnacentral:rRNA from 1 species
GACGAACGCUGGCGGCGUGCUUAACACAUGCAAGUCGAACGGAAAGGCCCUGCUUUUGUGGGGUGCUCGAGUGGCGAACGGGUGAGUAACACGUGAGUAACCUGCCCUUGACUUUGGGAUAACUUCAGGAAACUGGGGCUAAUACCGGAUAGGAGCUCCUGCUGCAUGGUGGGGGUUGGAAAGUUUCGGCGGUUGGGGAUGGACUCGCGGCUUAUCAGCUUGUUGGUGGGGUAGUGGCUUACCAAGGCUUUGACGGGUAGCCGGCCUGAGAGGGUGACCGGCGACAUUGGGACUGAGAUACGGACCAGACUCCUACGGGAGGCAGAAGUGGGGAAUAUUGCGCAAUGGGCGGAAGCCUGAUGCAGCAACGCCGCGUGCGGGAUGACGGCCUUCGGGUUGUAAACCGCUUUCGCCUGUGGCGAAGCGUGAGUGACGGUAAUGGGUAAAGAAGCACCGGCUAACUACGUG